CCUACGUGAGGCAGCAGUGAGGAAUAUUGGUCAAUGGACGAGAGUCUGAACCAGCCAAGUAGCGUGAAGGAUGACUGCCCGAUGGGUUGUAAACUUCUUUUAUAUGGGAAUAAAAUGUUCCACGUGUGGGAUUUUGUAUGUACCAUAUGAAUAAGGAUCGGCUAACUCCGUGCCAGCAGCCGCGGUAAUACGGAGGAUCCGAGCGUUAUCCGGAUUUAUUGGGUUUAAAGGGAGCGUAGGUGGAUUGUUAAGUCAGUUGUGAAAGUUUGCGGCUCAACCGUAAAAUUGCAGUUGAAACUGGCAGUCUUGAGUACAGUAGAGGUGGGCGGAAUUCGUGGUGUAGCGGUGAAAUGCUUAGAUAUCACGAAGAACUCCGAUUGCGAAGGCAGCUCACUGGACUGCAACUGACACUGAGGCUCGAAAGUGUGGGUAUCAAACAGGAUUAGAUACCCCAGUAGUC
rnacentral:rRNA from 1 species